GACGAACGCUGGCGGCGUGCUUAACACAUGCAAGUCGAACGGAAAGGCCCUGCUUUUGUGGGGUGCUCGAGUGGCGAACGGGUGAGUAACACGUGAGUAACCUGCCCUUGACUUUGGGAUAACUUCAGGAAACUGGGGCUAAUACCGGAUAGGAUCUCCUGCUGCAUGGUGGGGGUUGGAACGUUUCGGCGGUUGGGGAUGGACUCGCGGCUUAUCAGCUUGUUGGUGGGGUAGUGGCUUACCAAGGCUUUGACGGGUAGCCGGCCUGAGAGGGUGACCGGCCACAUGGGGACUGAGAUACGGCCCAGACUCCUACGGGAGGCAGCAGUGGGGAAUAUUGCACAAUGGGCGGAAGCCUGAUGCAGCAACGCCGCGUGCGGGAUGACGGCCUUCGGGUUGUAAACCGCUUUCGCCUGUGACGAAGCGUGAGUGACGGUAAUGGGUAAAGAAGCACCGGCUAACUACGUG
rnacentral:rRNA from 1 species